GAUGAACGCUGGCGGCGUGCCUAAUACAUGCAAGUCGAGCGAACAGACGAGGAGCUUGCUCCUCUGACGUUAGCGGCGGACGGGUGAGUAACACGUGGAUAACCUACCUAUAAGACUGGGAUAACUUCGGGAAACCGGAGCUAAUACCGGAUAAUAUAUUGAACCGCAUGGUUCAAUAGUGAAAGACGGUUUUGCUGUCACUUAUAGAUGGAUCCGCGCCGCAUUAGUUAGUUGGUAAGGUAACGGCUUACCAAGGCAACGAUGCGUAGCCGACCUGAGAGGGUGAUCGGCCACACUGGAACUGAGACACGGUCCAGACUCCUACGGGAGGCAGCAGUAGGGAAUCUUCCGCAAUGGGCGAAAGCUUGACGGAGCAACGCCGCGUGAGUGAUGAAGGUCUUCGGAUCGUAAAACUCUGUUAUUAGGGAAGAACAAAUGUGUAAGUAACUAUGCACGUCUUGACGGUACCUAAUCAGAAAGCCACGGCUAACUACGU
rnacentral:rRNA from 1 species